rnacentral:ncRNA from 1 species
GAGAGCCAAAUGAAUCGAAAGAUUCAUGUUUGGUCCGGAAGAGAUCAUAAACAUUUUGAAAUGGAUGGAAAGCGAGUCUACUUUCAU